CAAAAAAUAGUUUAAUAAAAUAAUAAUUUUGGAGAUUAUAGAUAAAGAUUUUUCUUUUUUUUUGA
rnacentral:tRNA from 1 species